UGUGUGGGGAGUGGGGACUACCUAGCCAAACAGAGGGAAGAUGAGCCCCAGCUUAAGGCAGGGCAAUGGUGUGGGGCAGCCAAGAGAGGAUGGGUAUUCUGGUCUGGUCCUGACUCCUUAGCAAGGCCUGGGAAGUGUCUGUGUCAGGACCAAUGCUGAGUGGUGUCCUCUCUUUGUGUCCCCAGCCUGCUGCACACUACCUGGCAGAGCAGGAACUCCACUGACGUUUGUGGGAAUGACCAGUGACAGGCCUUUGCACAUCCAUGUCACUUGGCAGCAUGUCAGGAUGCCACACCCUGAGGAGCUUGGGGGGAAGGUGGCCAGAGAUGGGGUGUGGGGUGUUGUGACCAGGCUGGACCACCAGCUCCUGGGGUGUACUAUUGGCUUUGGAGGGUGGGAGGUAAGAGGGCCUCAGCCUCUGGAGCCAGCUCCCACUCUAGCCUUGACUGAUUCCUGGGGUUGUUUCCACAGCGUCCUGGCCAGCAGUGAGGGUAAAACUGAAGGUUCUCUGGGGCCUCUUGAGCUCUAUGGGUUGCGCCCCCCCACCGCCAGUUGGUGCCCCAUGUAGCUGUGGUGGUGCUGACGGACAGAAGAGGACAGACAGACAGAGGGCUGCUGUACAAGGUGUUUUCUUUGUUGUCAUGAUUGGUUUGGUACAUCUUAGCAUCUGCGUCAUACAAAGGGGGAGCGACAGCCAUGGCUUUUGGUCAGGUUCAGGGGGCGUGAGGGAGUGUCCCUCCCCUCCCCCAGGCACUGACACAUUGAAAGGAAGCAGAGCAACAAGGACACGGCACAGGUGUAGGAAAAAGGGUCUGCCCCAUUUUACUCUAGCCACAAGCCUUCGGGGAGGCUGCCUUGCCCACCAGCUGCCCCACCUGAGGGGGCCUGGGCCGAAAUACUUCUGUUCUGUCUCUUUCCCCUCUGCUCUCUUUCUUUCACACACACACACACACACACACACACCUCUUGACUUCCUGCGUUUGGAGGAGACCCCACACAGCUUUGCCGGUAAGGACCUUCCAGGAGCUUCUAGACCUGGAGUGGAGAAUGUCCACGUGUGGAAAUCCUGGCCUGUUGCCAGUGCCCAGCGUGGGAGAUCCAGAGAGGUCCUGUCCCUUUGCUCUGGCGGUGAACUCCAGGCACACAAGCACGGCAGUGGCCUUCCUGGCAAGCUCACACGCCCACACUGGGUGGUGCGCACUCCCUUGCCUGUUUUCACCCAUGCACAAUGACUGCUCCUUCCUCUCUCCCUAGCCGGGGGAUGUCUCCCUAUGUGUUGUGUGUGUGUAUGUGCAUGCUGACUUCUGGGCUCGCUCCCUCCCUGCCCCUGACUCCUAAGUGUGUCAUGUGCAUGUUGCCCCAUUUGUGGGUGACACACUCACCCCCCUCCCACCCAGUGGAUCACACUCCUCCCACCCCAGGUACGUCCUGUGAACAUCCCUUCCCUGCUAGAGCAUCCCACACAUAUUUUGUGCCCCCCUCAAAUGUGCUGCACACGACAUCCUCUCUGGGCCAUACAUUAGCUUCUCUCCACAGCCAGGUCUGUGUCAGGAAUGACAGUCAUCGUGUCCCCCUGGACCCAAGAAUGAUCACCUGGCAGUGGUUGGAGCCAGGUAUGCUCCAGGCAGAAAUUCCUCCCCUGUUCCCACCUCCAGGAAGACCGCCAGUCCUGCUGCUUGAGAGUAGGCUGGAAGAGUCUGGAGGAGUCUGGGACUUGCACCAGACUAAGCCAGUCAGUCUGGAGGGCACUCUCACAUGGGAAAAGCCCUGAGCCUGCUCUGAGGGUGCAGAGGAACUGUGGAGACGACCACCAGGGAUGCCCUCUGAGGGUCUGGGGUCCCUCAGGCCCACCUGGGAUAUCUUGUAUGGCUAGGUUCCCCUGAUCACCUGAAGCUCCCUGGGCCUUAGUCUCUGCUGCCCAUCUGGCACUCUCUGUGCCCUGGCACCACCUUCGAGGUUUGUGGGCCCUUGUCAAGGGGGAGACCUUUCUGAACACUUGCAAUUCACUCCUGUGUCCAGGUGGGGCUCACAUACAGGGUCUGGGGAGGUCUGGGGUCCCUAAACUAGGCCCUGCCUGUCUCUGCCCCAGGGCUCUAGAGAAUGACCAUCCUGCCCAGGAUAACAGACACAAAGAGACAAGCAGACAACAGGGGUGCAAGGUGGCUCCCCAUCACAGACACAGGCACAGACACAGGCCCCCUGCGGGGCAGGACACAGGGGCACAGGGGAGGG
rnacentral:lncRNA from 1 species